UGGGGAAUAUUGGACAAUGGGCGAAAGCCUGAUCCAGCGACGCCGCGUGUGUGAAGAAGGCCUGCGGGUUGUAAAGCACUUUUAGUGGGGAUGAAAAGCUCGGGGCUAAUACCUCCGGGUCUUGACCUAACCCAAAGAAAAAGCACCGGCUAACUCUGUGCCAGCAGCCGCGGUAAUACAGAGGGUGCAAGCGUUAAUCGGAAUUACUGGGCGUAAAGCGCGCGUAGGCGGUUUCGUAAGUCGGGUGUGAAAUCCCCGGGCUCAACCUGGGAAUUGCAUUCGAGACUGCGGAGCUAGGGUGCGGAAGAGGGAAGUGGAAUUUCCGGUGUAGCGGUGAAAUGCGUAGAUAUCGGAAGGAACAUCAGUGGCGAAAGCGACUUCCUGGUCCAGCACCGACGCUCAGGCGCGAAAGCGUGGGGAGCAAACAGG
rnacentral:rRNA from 1 species